CAGGGUGUUCAGAGCGGAUUGGUAACACCUCUUCCCAUUCCGAACAGAGCCGUUAAGCAAUCCAGCGCGGAAGAUACUUGAAGGGCAACUUUCUGGGAAAAUACGCCAACGCCCUGU
rnacentral:rRNA from 1 species